CAGAGAACAAUUGAAGGUCUUUCAACUAAUAAAGAUCUAUUUUGAUAUGAAAAUAUUAAAAUUCAGUUGAAAAUGUCAGUUCCUAUGGCUUUAUGAUGAAUAAAUAUGAAUUUAAAGCAAAGGUCAAAAUCUAGAACGUCCAAUUAACCUUUGACCUUGACCUCAAUUUCAAGGUCAUAGACUAAACAUCUCGAAUCAAAAGACACUAGUUCCUUAAUAUGUAUGGUUUCUGAGUAAUAUCACUUUACGCAUAAUUCUAAAUAUAAGAGGGGCAAAAACUCCCAUUUAUUGUCUACGCACCCUUGCAACCAAAAUUUAUAAGUUACAACAUGUCGCAACUAACAAUUUAGUAAAAAUAAUUUGUUGAUAUCUUAUAAGGUUAAUGAAAAUAAGUGAAAAUAAGCCAAAAUCAAAAUUUACAAUUUGACCUUGACCUUUGACCUUGACCUAAUUUUCAUUUUUUUGGACCAAGGAUCUUAAAUCAAAGUACCCUAGGUCUCUAUCACUUGUGGUUUUCCAGUUUAAAAUACAUUUCAAAAUUUCAAAUACAAAAGGGGAAAUAACUCUCAUAUGGAAUCUCUAUACGGCUUCGGUCAAAAUAAAACAGCACAUCCUGAGGAUAUAAUGAGCAAGUUGCAAAAAUAAAUUUGUCGGUUUUUUAUACGGUUGUGAAGAUUACGCGAUAACAAGAAAAACAGUGUUUGGGGAGAUAACUCUUAUAUGGGAAAGAUUUUGGUUACGCGGAGUCAGUUACAAAAGCGUAAUAACUGUUCGAUAUCAUAUACCAUAUGUCUUAGCGACAUCUUGCGAAACAAAAAUACAGCGAAGGAAAAAAAAGUUGGCGGAAGAAAAAAAAAAAUAAUUAAAAUGUCAAUUGUUCUUGAACAAUUGAG
rnacentral:lncRNA from 1 species